GUGCUACUUCAGUAGUACAUAUACUAAAAUGGGAACAAUACAGAAAAGAUUAGCAUAGCCCCUGUACAAGGAUGACAUGCAAGAAUCUAAACAAAAUGCCCCAUCUGCUU